rnacentral:lncRNA from 1 species
CGACCUUUUGUAUAACGUGAGAGAUUUCACAUUAAAGUUUAAUAUUUCACCACCAACAACUGCCUUGACGUUUGAGAAAGAGAAAAAAACGCCGUUGUUUCUUACCUGAGACUCCAUCGAGAAGAUUAAAUAAACGUAUAUCGAGUAUUAUAAGAGCUCGGACGUGUCAGACUCGAUCAGACACGCACAGGUGUGACAGUCCGCAGGUAAAUCAUUUCUGUCUCGAUGUCACGUGACUCUCGUCGACGCCUAGACCAGAGGAUUUCAAGUUAAGCGCAUUUUGAUGGCCUUUUUUAAAACUUUUUUAAAAACUGCUUUAAGCAUGUUAGAAAAUAAAAAAUAAAAGUGAUUACAUUUUAGACGUCAGCUGAUAAAAGUUGCAAAUUCACCGUUUACUGGACUAAAAAUAAUAAUGAUUAAUUCUGACUGUACAGAACCUGGAGCGGAGCACGCUUUCGUAUCUGAAUUAGCGUGUUUGUUGUUCCUCUGAAAGGAAACGAAACUAGCUUAUAAACGAUUUUUUUUAUUACAGGAAAUGCAUUUAUUUACUUUUCAUAACAUGAAACUUGUUUACUAGCGCUGCACGUGUGCGCGAAUCAGGGGCGGUGAAACGAACUACUCCUCCGCUGAGCGACAGCUCCCUCAGCCAAUCACAACGCUAGGUGCGCUGCAGCAGCCAAUCAGAGUGCGGGAUUGCCAGAGGGGGCGUCCACGCACACGCGGAAGUUAGUAUGUAGCUGGGUAGCGGUCGCCGUGUGUUUUCCAAACACAUCAUGAGAAAUAUCAUAUUCCGUUUGACUGAAUCGAUUAUUUAAAUAUUUUAAUAUCUAAAGGACAUCAUGAGUGGCACGUGCAGGGAGGUAGUUACACUGCAGCUGGGGAAUUAUUUCAACUUAAUCGGGACGCACUGGUGGAAUUUACAGGGUUUAGACUCCUGUCAGCUUUUACUAAAGACAUACAGUGAAACAGUUAUUCUGCAGCUGAUCUUAAUACACGUGCAUUUGUAGGAGUUUCCCUUUCAGACGCCUUCUGAGAUGAGUGACAGCUUUCUAAU